CCGGAGUUUGGGCACUCUGUGCCCCCCUCCCAACCUUUGCUUACCCAUCCUCUGUUGCUUUGGCGUGGCAGCACGCCAGAGAACCUACUCUAUUCUGUUUUGUAACUGCUGUCUGAGUAAUAUUAAAUAAAUAA
rnacentral:misc_RNA from 1 species